rnacentral:siRNA from 1 species
AGGCAAUGUGAUGACAAUGGCUA